AGCAGGCCUAUGGCCUGCUUGCAGGCACCUGCCCAGUCUGUCUCUCGGAGAAUGUUACUGCUCCACAGACAUGGAGGACAGGACAAAAAGACUAUCAAAGCUACCCUUAUGCAAUUUAAUGCUGAUUGUACCUUUAGGAAAGAAGUUUACAUUCUGCCAAGUUUAACUUUGUGUGCUGUUUAGAAGGAACAUGUUCAGUAAUCAUAUGUUGGAAGGGUCUAAUGGAUUUUAGGAGUCCUUCGUGAGGAAGCAGUGGUGAAAAAACCUGAUACCUAGGCAGUUUUCAAGGACUAUUCUCAUACAUUUCUGGAAAUUUGAAUACACCCAUCUCAGCCAGCUGUUGAAGUUUUUGGAUCUGGAAUCAAGCGUAUUAUAACCCUUUGAUACUUCAGUGACCCAUGAAGACUAUCUAAUCUCCUACAUGAAUGGGAAUGACCUACCAAGGAAACAUCAGAAACUUUACCCAUUGGGUCCAUAUAGGAGCUUAGUUUCUCCUCCUCAAACAUCUGCUUUUUCUAGUCUAAAUAUGGCUUAUGUAUGAUGGUUUAUACUGACUACUAUCCUUCCACAUUGUAUGUAUUUCUCCUGCCCUAUUCAUGUACUUACACUCUGUGAUACUUUAUGAUCAUUUGUGACUUUGUGAAAUUGAUAUUAAUAUAUGGUUGUUCUAACCAGCCUUAACUAGGUGAUAUUGAUACAUUAAUAUAUGGAUUGGUUAUAUUUU